GCCUUAUCCUCGGCAGCUUCGUUUCUAUCCAACGAAAAUCUCACCCGCUCCCCUUCUCCCCACCACCAGCGCGCCAUCAAAGGAACUCGCCGCGCCAUUCCUCCACCUCCCCUCAACUCUGGAUACUGUUGCUCAUCAAUUCUGGACUCCACAUGAAGAGAAAAGGGACAAGGCCAAGGGUAAUGUACCUAUGGCUCCUUCCCGAAAGGCAAGGCCAAUGGCGGAACUCCUUGGUCGCAUUGCUAGCUUCCUUGUUCAGUCCCAGAAGGCCAUCAUCACUGUCUGCACUGUCAAUGCAAUAAAUGUUGCUAUCAUGGAGUCAUGUCAUACAACGAGGGUCAACCAGCAUAAGGCUCGUCUUCGUGCCUGAGGUGGGAGACCUAUCGAUGAUGAUCCUAUCCCUCUAGCUCCUCCGAUCCCUGAGUUUGGCUUCCCGACUGAGACCGACAUCUUCUCACAGGGGGUCCCCGACGAUGACAACAUCGAUGAGGAGUGAUCAUUUGGGUCUCAUUAGUUUCCUUCACCCUUUUUGGUACUUGUUGUCAAAGGGGGAGAAGUGGUAUGUUAGGCCUCGCGGGUGCUCGCAUAGGUAGAGUCACAUGCCUUGGUUUUUAUUCGCUAUGUAAUUUAUGAAAACAAGCAUGCUUUAAUUGCUAUGUGAUAAUAAUUCAUUGUGCUAAGAGUUACAGAAUCAA